UUUUAAGAAGCGAAAAUUUUGCUUUCAGUUUCGACCUGAAUUUUGGGCUCCACCCUUAAAUU
rnacentral:tRNA from 1 species